rnacentral:rRNA from 1 species
GGGUCCUACGGGGGGCAGCAGUGGGGGAUAUUGCACAAUGGGGGGAACCCUGAUGCAGCGACGCCGCGUGGGUGAAGAAGCGCCUCGGCGCGUAAAGCCCUGUCAGCAGGGAAGAAAAUGACGGUACCUGAAGAAGAAGCCCCGGCUAACUACGUGCCAGCAGCCGCGGUAAUACGUAGGGGGCAAGCGUUAUCCGGAUUUACUGGGUGUAAAGGGGGCGCAGACGGCGAUGAAAGCCAGGAGUGAAAGCCCGGGGUCCACCCCCGGGAGUGCUCUUGGAAAUGCGCGGCUGGAGUGCAGGAGGG